rnacentral:rRNA from 1 species
GAUGAACGCUGGCGGCGUGCCUAACACAUGCAAGUCGAGCGGCAGCGAGGGGUGCUUUCACCCUGUCGGCGAGCGGCGGACGGCUGAGUAACGCGUGGGAACGUGCCCCAAAGUGAGGAAUAACUGCCCGAAAGGGUAGCUAAUACCGCAUAUUAUCUUCGGAUCAAAGGAUUUAUCCGCUUUGGGAGCGGGUCGCGUCGGAUUAGGUAGUUGGUGAGGUAAUGGCUCACCAAGCCGACGAUCCGUAGCUGGUCUGAGAGGAUGACCAGCCAGACUGGAACUGAGACACGGUCCAGACUCCUACGGGAGGCAGCAGUGAGGAAUCUUCCACAAUGGGCGAAAGCCUGAUGGAGCAACGCCGCGUGCAGGACGAAGGCCUUCGGGUUGUAAACUGCUUUUAUAAGUGAGGAAUAUGACGGUAACUUAUGAAUAAGAAUCGGCUAACUACGUG